UUCUAGCAUACUAGAUAUACUAUAAAGUCGUACCUGGUCAGCCGCCAAAGCUGGUCUGAUUUACAUGAAAAACCAAAGCCAAUUUAUACUAAAUUCACUUUGAUAACACGGGUAAUUAAUAAUAUGGAACAAAAGGACUUAUGUAAAGACUACAUAAUUAAAUCAUUUGUCAUUGAUAGAUUAUCUCACUAUAAGCAUAUGGCAGGCUUCAGAACAAUUGAUGUGUGACAGCUAACGCUAGUAAACGUCAUUAGUGAUCAGCGGAUUAUCUAACUUGACCAUUAUACAUAUGGCAGCAUCUGGUUCUUUAUUAAAUGAACAAUAGUGUGGUCAAUUAGAGAACAGUGGAGAGUUUAUUACACAUGCGGUCAUAGGAUAAUUAUAAUCUUUUACCUAUCACUGUCUCUCACACUAUGUAACAAAAGAGUAAAAGUUGGGGAAAGGCGCCAUCACAUUUUUUGUACUGAUAGACAGAUGCAACUACUCGCACGUGCAAAAACUUGGUAUAUGGAUGCAACUUUUCGGGUGGUGAACAAGCCAUGGUCUCAGCUGUUUUCCAUACACGCCUUCAUUAAGACUGGAGAGACCACCCGACAGUUACCAUUGGUGUUUUGUGUAAUGUCGGGUAAAAGCCAAGACGACUAUUAUAAGUUUCCAUAUUAGAUGCCAUAGCAAAUCAAAGAUCAUAUAAUAAAAUAAGUCAAAAAACCCAAAUAUGGAAAAAGAAAGUGCUGAAGAAAUGGUGAUUUGAGCACCUAUGCUUUCUCAUAGGUGUUUUUGGAGGUUUCCAUAUUAGAUGCCAUAGCAAAUCAAAGAUCAUAUAAUAAAAUAAGUCAAAAAACCCAAAUAUGGAAAAAGAAAGAGCUGAAGAAAUGGUGAUUUGAGCACCUAUGCUUUCUCAUAGGUGUUUUUGGAGGUUUCCAUAUUAGAUGCCAUAGCAAAUCAAAGAUCAUAUAAUAAAAUAAGUCAAAAAACCCAAAUAUGGGAAAAGAAAGAGCUGAAGAAAUGGUGAUUUGAGCACCUAUGAUUUCUCAUAGGUGUUUUUGGAGGUUAACUACAUCAGAAAGAUGAAGACAGUUGGAAAUGGCUAUUCAUAUUAUGGAAACUUUUUCUCACAGAGCUUGAUAAUCAGGUAAAAUGCUGGAAGAUUAUUUGAUGUAUGAUAACAACAAGAGAUCCCAAGCAUCAAUUUAUUUUAUAAUUCUGGAAAAGAAUGCAUUUGACCCAAUUUUUGAAUAUUUUUUUUUGUUUUUACUGUUAAAUAUUCAUCCCAAACACAAUUAGAUUUUAAUUCUCUACAGAAAUUUAUGUAUAAUAUAGAAUGUAAAGUGACAUAUAAUUCACUUAGAAUUUGGUCGGAAAUCAUAAAGUAUUUAAUAGGCAUAGUCUAGAAACCAAAUGUAGAUCAAAUAUACCCAGAAUUACAAAAAACCUUGACCUACAUUAAGGUGACUUUCCCUUGCUUAUGAAAUGAAAUAGGGUUUAAUAUCCUACUUUUCUGUGUUAUUAUGGUGAUUCUGCCCUACAACCUACUCUUAUAUCAAAUAUUUCAACUGUCAAGGGUUGUUUAAAGGGAACCCAGGAGGGCCGAAUGGUUAACAAACGCACAUUGGAUCAGAAGGGUCUGUCAUUGAGUCAGAUAAUUCAAUUGUCAAGGGUUCUUUAAAGUAAACGCAGUGGGGGUAGUUUCAAUUCUGGGCUUAUACCCAAUUAUCCCUUGCCAUGUCCUACACUACUGACGUGUGGGAACUAUGUCGGAAAAUCCAGUUGAAAUUUCUCGGCCAAUGCACUCACUGAACCACAGUGGCUCCUCCUUGCUUUUGACUUGUGAUUAUUUAUAUAUAUUUUGUACAUAUUAUUUAAUGUUUGCGAUUUUCUCUGAUAUUUUUUUAUUUUUCAAUCCUGUAAUCUUGAUGCUUUGCUCCUUUUAUGUACAAAAUAUUCAUUUUGUUUGUUUUGUUUUUUUUAAUGAGGAAAAGGUUCUACAUCAUUUUAUUACUCCUGCAAAAUAGUGCAUUUUCCUUUUGUUAGUUUUCUGUGUAUGCUAGUUAUUUCUAGAUGCCUCACAAAUCACUUGUAAUAUGACUUUGUAGCACUUUUCAGUUUCUGAAAGUAUUUCAAUUUAGUGCAUAAUUAAUCUAAUUAGGGCUUGGUUUGGAUGUUAUUAAAUUUAGAUAUAUUUGAAUUAUAUAUU